AACGCGAAGAACCUUACCUGGGUUUGACAUGCGCAGGACGCGUCUAGAGAUAGGCGUUCCCUUGUGGCCUGUGUGCAGGUGGUGCAUGGCUGUCGUCAGCUCGUGUCGUGAGAUGUUGGGUUAAGUCCCGCAACGAGCGCAACCCUUGUCUCAUGUUGCCAGCACGUAAUGGUGGGGACUCGUGAGAGACUGCCGGGGUCAACUCGGAGGAAGGUGGGGAUGACGUCAAGUCAUCAUGCCCCUUAUGUCCAGGGCUUCACACAUGCUACAAUGGCCGGUACAAAGGGCUGCGAUGCCGUGAGGCUUAGCGAAUCCUUUAAAGCCGGUCUCAGUUCGGAUCGGGGUCUGCAACUCGACCCCGUGAAGUCGGAGUCGCUAGUAAUCGCAGAUCAGCAACGCUGCGGUGAAUACGUUCCCGGGCCUUGUA
rnacentral:rRNA from 1 species